rnacentral:rRNA from 2 species
UAGUGGCGAACGGGUGAGUAACACGUGGGCAAUCUGCCCUUCACUCUGGGACAAGCCCUGGAAACGGGGUCUAAUACCGGAUACGACCUCCGACCGCAUGGUCUGGUGGUGGAAAGCUCCGGCGGUGAAGGAUGAGCCCGCGGCCUAUCAGCUUGUUGGUGGGGUGAUGGCCUACCAAGGCGACGACGGGUAGCCGGCCUGAGAGGGCGACCGGCCACACUGGGACUGAGACACGGCCCAGACUCCUACGGGAGGCAGCAGUGGGGAAUAUUGCACAAUGGGCGAAAGCCUGAUGCAGCGACGCCGCGUGAGGGAUGACGGCCUUCGGGUUGUAAACCUCUUUCAGCAGGGAAGAAGCGAGAGUGACGGUACCUGCAGAAGAAGCGCCGGCUAACUACGUGCCAGCAGCCGCGGUAAUACGUAGGGCGCAAGCGUUGUCCGGAAUUAUUGGGCGUAAAGAGCUCGUAGGCGGCUUGUCGCGUCGGAUGUGAAAGCCCGGGGCUUAACCCCGGGUCUGCAUUCGAUACGGGCAGGCUAGAGUUCGGUAGGGGAGAUCGGAAUUCCU